ACGGGUUUGCUGAUACCAUGCAGUCCUCAUCCAUCAAAGUGGCUGUGAAGCAAUGAUAUUGUCUACUGUUGUAUCACAGCCCCGCUUUGAUGAGCUGAGAUUCUGCAGUCGUUCUACCAUAACCC
rnacentral:pre_miRNA from 9 species